rnacentral:rRNA from 1 species
CCUACGGGUGGCAGCAGUGAGGAAUAUUGGUCAAUGGGCGAGAGCCUGAACCAGCCAAGUCGCGUGAGGGAAGACGGUCCUAUGGAUUGUAAACCUCUUUUGCCGGGGAGCAAAAAGCGGUACGUGUACCGCAUCGAGAGUACCCGGAGAAAAAGCAUCGGCUAACUCCGUGCCAGCAGCCGCGGUAAUACGGAGGAUGCGAGCGUUAUCCGGAUUUAUUGGGUUUAAAGGGAGCGUAGGUGGAUUGUUAAGUCAGUUGUGAAAGUUUGCGGCUCAACCGUAAAAUUGCAGUUGAAACUGGCAGUCUUGAGUACAGUAGAGGUGGGCGGAAUUCGUGGUGUAGCGGUGAAAUGCUUAGAUAUCACGAAGAACUCCGAUUGCGAAGGCAGCUCACUGGACUGCAACUGACACUGAGGCUCGAAAGUGUGGGUAUCAAACAGGAUUAGAUACCCUUGUAGUC